GAUGAACGCUAGCUACAGGCUUAACACAUGCAAGUCGAGGGGCAGCGGGCAGAAAGCUUGCUUUCUGUGCCGGCGACCGGCGCACGGGUGCGUAACGCGUAUCGAACCUACCACAUACUCAGGGAUAGCCUUGCGAAAGUAAGAUUAAUACCUGAUGUUAUUAAACAAUCGCAUGAUGGUUUAAUCAAAGAUUUAUUGGUAUGUGAUGGCGAUGCGUCUGAUUAGGUAGUAGGCGGGGUAACGGCCCACCUAGCCAUCGAUCAGUAGGGGUUCUGAGAGGAAGGUCCCCCACAUUGGAACUGAGACACGGUCCAA
rnacentral:rRNA from 1 species